rnacentral:rRNA from 1 species
UGGGGAAUAUUGGACAAUGGGCGCAAGCCUGCUCCAGCCAUGCCGCGUGAGUGAUGAAGGCUCUAGGGUUGUAAAGCUCUUUCACCGGUGAAGAUAAUGACGGUAACCGGAGAAGAAGCCCCGGCUAACUUCGUGCCAGCAGCCGCGGUAAUACGAAGGGGGCUAGCGUUGUUCGGAUUUACUGGGCGUAAAGCGCACGUAGGCGGACUAUUAAGUCAGGGGUGAAAUCCCGGGGCUCAACCCCGGAACUGCCUUUGAUACUGGUAGUCUUGAGUUCGAGAGAGGUGAGUGGAAUUCCGAGUGUAGAGGUGAAAUUCGUAGAUAUUCGGAGGAACACCAGUGGCGAAGGCGGCUCACUGACUCAAUACUGACGCUGAGGUGCGAAAGCGUGGGGAGCAAACAGG